rnacentral:rRNA from 1 species
CAGUCGCCGCGGGAAUACGUAGGUGGCAAGCGUUGUCCGGAAUUAUUGGGCGUAAAGCGCGCGCAGGCGGAUCAGUUAGUCUGUCUUAAAAGUUCGGGGCUUAACCCCGUGAGGGGAUGGAAACUGCUGAUCUAGAGUAUCGGAGAGGAGAGUGGAAUUCCUAGUGUUGCGGUGAAAUGCGUAGAUAUUAGGAAGAACACCAGUGGCGAAGGCGACUUUCUGGACGAAAACUGACGCUGAGGCGCGAAAGCCAGGGGAGCGAACGGGAUUAGAUACCCCCGUAGUCCCUGUCUCUUAUACA